CGGGGGUGUGUGCGAGAGGGCGUGGUUUAAUUCUGUUGCUGUGAAAAUGUCGAUGGACUACGGGUUUUCAUUAGGGCAAGGGACCACUCUGGAGCCACUGUUAACCAAGAGGUUGAUGGGAGGUUAUAUCAGCGACGAAGAAGCAGUUAUGGUGAACCGGAGAGGUUGCGAAAGAGUUGCUGUCGGUAAGCAGCCUCAUCUUCAGAUCUUCAGGAAGAAACUGUUUAUUUACAUCCACUGGCUGCUCCUAUGAGUCAUGUAACAUAAUCUGUAUGUAUAUAGGCUAUAGUGCCCCUACUCUGGGUGAUGAGCUGUUUUAGUGAUGUUUACUAACGUUCUUCGUUUGUUUGGGGGGGUUUGUUUUUUUUCUGUGUUAUAUAAUUGUACCACCGUUGAGCUUUGCUUAUUUAAAACUACUGCUAAUCGUAAAACAGUUGCUAUGUUUCCUUUUAUUAAAGGCUGAUUAAAAAUUACGCAUGAACGUGAUAUGAUUAUUAUAGUGCAGUGCGCAGUUUCCAGGGUUGCUUCCCAACGUUACCCGGAAAUAAUUUAGAAAAAAAAAGAAAAAGUAUAUGCUACGAACUGUUCCCUUAUAAAACAUGUCUGUGCGCAUUUGUGGCUCAUUUUCUUCGGAGACAGUGAGAGGGGCAGAGUUGGGUGGGAAGGUGUGCUGGAUGCUUACUGCAGGAGGAUGUUGCGCACUUCAAUUUACCCCCGGAGUGAGUGGUCCGUGCAUCCAUGCGGUACUGCGUAAUAAUUUGUUUUCGAGAAAGAUAUUGCUAACGUGUUUGUUUAUGACUUUUAGUUUGUCAUUUCGGGUGCAGAAUUUAUAUUAUUGAAAUUUAGGACGUGUUGUCAUGUGCAUGAGUGUCUUGGUUGAGUAAGUUUAAAAUUAAGUUACAAAACGGGAUAAAACUAGUUUACUGUGAAAACUGUAAUUCAUAAUAGGUAAACUAUAGAGGAGCUACUACUCUUUCAGUCACUUUGCGUGAUAUACUGACUUUGAAUUGUGUUAUGAUUGCACCUGUCAGAGUGCGUCACGCUAAUAUAGCACAAUGUAUUCUUAACAUAUUUAAACUAUCAUGUUGAAAGUAAUACAAAAUAACCAAUAAAAUAUGCCAAAACUUAAAAUUAUAUAAGAUGGGGGUUUUUUCUUCCGCUGUUCAUGAGCAAAAUUAGAUCCUUGAGUUACUAAUUACAAAACUUGCUCCCGAUUUAUUUCUAAAGGCUCAUUUUUUGUUGUUUGUUAAUGUUUAUUGUGUGCCCCUGUUGUUCCAGUGCCUUGACUCAGCUCCAUCCAUCCAGAGGUUUCUGUCAUACGCACUUUUUAUUCCUGAUGUAAACAAACCGUCAGAGGGCAAUACCUUCGAUCACCAAAAGAUGGCGUAUUUACGCAGGGUUACAGAACAGUUUGUUCUGAAGCAAGAAAGUUGUCUAAACACUGUUCUUGGAAUGAGUCAGAUAUUGGGAAGCAUUGAUGCAACACUACAGAUUGAGGGUGAAACAGCAGUUUGCGCAUCUAAAUGAGGGAGCAAAAGUAGAGACACGUUCAACUUCCCUUGAAAGGUGAGAACCAGCGCACUUCUCAGAAAACCAGGAGCUCCUCUGACGGCAAAGCUCUGCCAGAUGUCUCUUCAUGAUACAGCGACUGAUGCUUGAACACUUCUGAGAGGCAACUUGAAACCAGACCAUUGCGUGAAUUUGUCGUAUCGUUCCGCAGUCGGGAGGAAAAGCAGUUGUAGUGUUCACAAGGUACCAUACUGUAGUUCAGUGCCAAUGUCUCAUUUAUAUUAGAAAUGAAGAAACAUCUGUUCGAGGGCAGCGUUGAGGCUUGGAGCACUGAAAGAGGAAGUACAUGUUGUAGGGCUAUUCACGGUCUUGAUGUGUCAGAGUCGGGAUGUGAUGUGGCUGGAGAGCAGCAUACAAUCAUCCUCUCUAUUCUUUUGAGCAGCCGAGAGAAGAGGAUUUGUCAAGGUCUGUUUGCAUAGCGCUGCAGGUGAGCCCGUAUGUUACAGACAUACAGUACAGUGGCAGCAUUUACUGUGUAUCUGUUCUUUUUUGGCCCAUCACACAUCCACGAAGCUUGGAUCAAGUAGCAGAUCAGCCGCGUGGGCGUGUUAGAGAGAAAUAGAUUGAGACGGAGAGGUGUUCUGGUGCUUUCUCAGUGCUUUUCAUUUCAUCUCUCUCUCUUUAUCUGCCAUCAUCUGCUUCCCUUCUCUCCGAUUUCUGAACAAGAUUCUGCUAAAUUUUACACCAAAGAAGACGGCCUUUCAUCAGAGGUUCCCCCUUUGGAAGCUGGUUUCAGAUGGUGGCUUAGAGUAUUGUCAUCUAUCUAGCACCAUUUGAAAUCAGUGUUCUUGGGGCGGGAAGUAUGUUUCAAUGACCAGCUCCAGGCAGCUGUGAGGUGUCAAAAGAAGUGCCCAGUGAUAAAGGUACAACAUGGAAAUGUCACCACUGGAAGAUGGAGUACCACUCGCAGAACUACAAACUUCUGGUCUACAGUGACGUUUUGCCAGCUUCUGCUUUUUGUCCUCUUUCCAAGGUUGACCGAUUUCUUUCGGUGUUCAGAGUCUGCUUCUGUUUCUAGCACCAUUUGAAAUCGGUUACAGUGAAGGACAGAUCUCAUCUUACCUUGAGGACGAUUUUGCAACUAAGUGGUCCGCUUUUUGUUUUUGUUUUAAAUUACCUUUGUAAAAUCUAUAGACAUUGAUAUGUUUGUUUAAAAAAAAAUCUGUUGGGUUAUCCAACUCAAAAGUUUUGGGUCACCCAGAAGAUCCCAAUUUUUAAUUAAAGCUUUAACUUCCAUCCAUCCACUUUCUUAACUGCUUAUCUAGUUCAGAGCCACAGAGAAACGAGAGGGAGGGUACAACCUGGAUAGCUCACUAUUUCACCACCUGACUAACCAUUCACAUUUACAGUUACUUUGGAAUCACCAAAAGUAUGUCAGCACUGUGGGAUGUUGCAA